CUCAAUUCUCUUUCCAUCUUGUACACAUACUGUUUGGUUUCUGUGUGAGAGUGUGAGAGUCUGAGACAUUUGAAAAUGGCGGUUUGGCUUGUUCUUUUUCAGAAAGCUCCACUUCGCGGCUUCAUAUACUCCAUGUGCUCUCGACGAGGCAAGUUUUUGAUGACCAAUUCUGUCAACUACAAGCUUUGAAGGAAGUUCUUAGACAUUAUUAUGUUGUGAGAUCCGUCACUAUCUACUGCAUGUCUGAUCAAUAUAUAUUCUUCACUCUUUGAUUGAGCCAAGCACAUCAAGAAACAGGAUGUUGGUUUCCAUAGGUGGUCGUUUCUGCUGGUGAUCUGUAUGCAAGAACCAAUGGGUGAUGUUGUUCUUCUGUUAGUGAAGCGCCAAUUCUGCCAUAAAAAUGCUAAACUUUGUUUGCAUUUCGUACACUUGAUGAAUAUUCAGUGGCAUUUAAGGACUCCUUUAUUAGUAUUAUUUUUUUUCCCGAAACAAAGUAGGCAUGGUUUUCUAACUUCCAAGUGAAACGGGUUAAAAAAUUAAAGUGCUUUCACGUUUGAAGUUUAUAAUUUUUUUCUGUUCCCGAUUCCUUAUUUUCAUGGCCAUUACAAGUACAAAUGAAAAGAAAGAUUAUUGACAUAGAGACUUAUUUUCGGGGCCAUUACACGUGCAAAUGAAGAGAAAGAUUAUUGACAUAGAGACUGGUGAAAGGAAGCUGGAAACCAUCAUUGAUAAGGUUUGCUAUGACUCAGAUGGUAAUAAUCUGAAAAACACUAUUAUGAUUUUUGUGUUUGGUGGGGGCUUAUAUGUUGUAGUCUCGGCUUUGGGAAAGGAGGUUGUGAUAGGCGGAAUUUAUUUGUAUGCACAUCUGUUUCUUUAUACGUCAAUUUAUUCUCAAAAAAGCUAAAUUUUCUUUAAAAUCUAUGUUAUGCAUAAAAUUUUGUUGGAUGGCACCUGUAUUGAACUUGAGAUUACAACAUAUAUUAUAAGCUAUAGUUUCUUUCAUGGUAGAUGAUACUACAAAUACGAGCUAUGGUAAGAACACAUAAAUGCUCUUAAUUUCUUAUAAGGCCAACUCUAUCCAUUCAAGAACUGACUGUGCUGCUUUUUAUGGGAGAAGUAGCCCAUGUGAGUAUCAAAUUUAAAUUUUAUUUUGAUAUAUUUUCUGGUCAGCUCUGGGUGGAAAAAUGUUCCAUGCUUAAUGGAGAAUAAAACAGAAAUGUAUUGGACUAGCAACAUUCUUUAAGUAAGCUGAAUUAGAAGUUGUGAGCUUUGUAAAUGGAGAACUAUAUGCCCAGAUACACUAGUCAUAUUUAUGAGCUCUAAUACAGUUAGACAUGCUAACUGCUGCACAAGAAACUGUUUUGGGGUUUGUGCCUCGUUUUGGGUUUUCCUGUUAUAUAUGUAUUUUUUAUUCUAUAAAGCAAUGAAAAUUAAAAAAAUAAAAAAUUCAGCUGUCUUCCAGAGUAACUUGUUCACUUGAAUUUGUUAUAUGCCAGAUGAAAUAACUCAAAAAGAAAAAAAGAAGGUACAUGGAUAAAUAACUUCUUGUACCAUGGUUGUACUGGCCUUGCUAAAGGACGUGAUGAUCUUAAUGUUACAAAAUGGGUUCUUGACUAUCUUCAAGAUGCAACAGUUGAAGAUUGGGAAAUAUUUUGCAUAUGGAAUUGCUAAUAUUCAGUAGUGUUUGUAUUUUUCAAUUAAAUAUAUGUUUUUUCCUCUAGAGUGAAGGGAUAGUUUAAAUUUUAAAUUCUGUUGUCUUAUUAUUUUCUUCCUAUAUUCCUGUCUUAUGUUUAUCUAUGAAGUUUCCUUUUACAAUCUAUUUCCUUUGCUCUGGCGUUGCAGUGCAAGAUAUUAUGGAUUAGCGUUAAACCAUUAAACACCAUUCACCACUGUAGUGAAGUUAAUCUCGAAUUUAUUUUCAUAUUUUCAUUUGUCAUUUCAAAUUGCAAGUUAGACAAAAAUUUUAGAACUGACAUGGAAAGUCUGGCCCUUGAGAUCAACUUCAAGCUGGCUUAUGUUCUUCAUGAGGUUUGUUUGUCCAGUUUUAACAUAAGUAGACAAUUUAUUGUUGCUUGAAGCUUAUUAUAAAGAAUGAUACUAUCAAGUUAGUUUUUGUUAGCGAGAUGUAUAAACUUUUAAUACUCCAAUAUGUAUAAAUUACCACUAUUAAUAACUUAUUGAGAUUAACAUAACCUGCUUUUUGACCAAGCAAGUGAAAACUGAUCCUCUUGACAGCUUGUAUGAUUCUUGUUUUUUGUUGUUUGAAACUUAUUGUAAAGAAUGAUAGUAUCAGGUUAAUUUGUUAGUGAGGUGUUUAAAAUAAUGAGUACUCCAAAAUGUAUAAAUUUCCACUGUUAAUAACUUAUCCAGAUUAGCAUAAAAUUCUUUUUCAGUAAGUAAAUGAAACUGACCCUCUUUGACAGCUUAUAUGACUCUUGUUGUUUGCCAUGUGGCAUGGGUACUGCUGCUUUCUGUUCAAUAAAAUCACUAGGGACCAAACAAAUUGUUAUCAUUUCUGGCAAAAGUUGCAUGGGACCCACUUAAUAUGAUGUGGAAGUAGCACUACAAAAGAUGUAGACAAUCUUAAAGAGAAUGGCGGAUUAAGAGCUUUCUUUGUUGUUCUUGUCCAAAUUAAAAUAUCUGAAUCCCAAUCAUGGUAAGUAUAUAUUGAAUGCAAUUAAGCAGAUCUUGGGCUUAGGUUCCUUAUAAUUUUUUUGGAUUCAUGUCUCAUUUUUAGAUUUCCUGUUAUAAUAUGUUAUGAUAAAUUAUAAACUAAUUAAAUUGGUGAAUUCUCCUUUGAAGCAAAAUGUUAGGGUUUUUUUUUUAUUUUUUUUAUUUUUAUAUAUUGAUUUGCAACGUGAUUUGUUGUAUGACAUGCUAUUUCAAUCUCUAAAUUGAUCAAAGGAUGUUAUGUCGUAUUGGAUCAGGUGACAGAAGAAGAAAAGGUGAAGUAUUUGCUUUGCAUUAUUCUUUAAGGGGCAUAUAUGUUAAUUUGCAUUCCAGGUGUUAAUCCACAAGGCACCAUGCAAAACUCAUGGCAGUCUGAUAACCAUUGUUUAUCAAACCUCUCACUGAAGCUGUUAUAUCUCCAUGCAGAACUGUUUCAUUCUCACCAUGGACUACUUGAAGAAUAUGUGCAGUCACUAUUUGAUGAGGGGAUAGUAAAUGAUCAGUUUUCACAGAUUCAGACUCUAAAAAGUAUGGAACAACCUGAUCUUGUUGUGCAGCUGAUCGAUGCAUAUUUGGUUGAUGUGGAAAUGAUUUUAUCAGAACUUACAAGCUACAGUGAUUUUCCUGAUGUUGAUUUCUCCAAGGUGACUUUGCUGGCUCACAAAGUAAAGGAUAGAAGCUCAUGCAUUGGUGCUGAGCAUGUAAGACUUGCAUGUGAUGAACUCAUUCAGGCCUCUGUUCAGAUGAACAAGCAAAAGUAUGAAGUUUCGUCCGAGCCUUGAGUUGGAUAAAGAAAGAAUUUUCUUGUACCCAGGACAAGCUGGAGUCCUAUGCUCAGCAUGGUCAUGCAGAUGGAGCGUAGGAUUAUCAGACUUGAGAGCAGACAAAAAGGUAAAGCUUGUACACCAACAAAUUCUGCUUGAAGUGUGUAGUAGGAGAGCCAAGGGUGGGAGCAAAAUACCUAGCAAUUUUGAAUUAAAUUUGUAGAGCUUGCUGUUUCAUGUAUUAGUUUCAUGUUCUCGUAACUGAUACUUGUUUGAGAAUGGUCCCUUAGCUUAUGCAAUGAUCCGACAAGUACUUUCUAGAAUCGUAGACAUUUUCUCUGAAUUUUUUCUUUCUUUUUUUUUUUUUUUUUU